rnacentral:tRNA from 1 species
AUUUUAAUAGCUUAUUUAAUAGAGCAUAAUAUUGAAGAUAUUAGGGAGAAUAAAUAUUCUUAAAGUA